ACGCUCGACACCUACGGGAGGCGGCAGUGGGGAAUAUUGCACAAUGGGGGAAACCCUGAUGCAGCGACGCCGCGUGAGCGAAGAAGUAUUUCGGUAUGUAAAGCUCUAUCAGCAGGGAAGAAAAUGACGGUACCUGACUAAGAAGCCCCGGCUAACUACGUGCCGGCAGCCGCGGUAAUCUGAGCGGGCUGGCAAGGC
rnacentral:rRNA from 1 species